GGUUCUGGCUCAAUUGGUAGAGCACUCGCCUCAACGUGGGAGGCCCUGGGUUCGAUCCUUAGCACCG
rnacentral:tRNA from 1 species